rnacentral:lncRNA from 1 species
AAUUUCCAUAGCCACCAAUUUUUCGCUAUAAUGAUGAAUAGGGCCUAUAGAGAUUACUCGAGGAGUGUAGGCAUCUUCCUUUCGAUCACGAAGUGCUGAAGGAACUUCAUAGAUACACUGCUCAGACCGAAAGCUAGUCUCCAAGUCAUCUCGAAUAAUAAUUAAAAUAUCUUGGCGCAGCUUUUCAAUUGGAAUUGAAGGGCUUUUUAAUCGAUCGUUUUCUCCCAUUUGUUGAAG